rnacentral:lncRNA from 1 species
AGUCCAGCCCAAGUUAAUCCAGAGAAUAAGGGAAGCCCAGAUAGUUGACCUUGCCCUGGUAGCCCGCAUGAAGGAUGCAGAACAGGGAGGGAGCUCAGAAUUCUGAAUCUCUGUUGAUGGAUUACUUCAUUUCCAAGAUAGAGUGUGUGUCCCAGAUGACAGUGAGUUAAAAAGAGACAUCAUGACGGAGUCCCAUAGCUCGAAGUUUGCCAU